rnacentral:rRNA from 1 species
UACGGGGAGGGCAAGCGUUGUUCGGAAUUACUGGGCGUAAAGGGUUCGUAGGUGGCCAACUAAGUCAGACGUGAAAUCCCUCAGCUUAACUGGGGAACUGCGUCUGAUACUGAUUGGCUUGAGUGCAGGAGAGGAACGCGGAAUUCCAGGUGUAGCGGUGAAAUGCGUAGAUAUCAGGAGGAACACCGGUGGCGAAGGCGGAUCUCUGGGCCUUACCUGACGCUGAGACGCGAAAGCGUGGGGAGCAAACAGG